rnacentral:tRNA from 1 species
GCCUGGGUGGCUCAGUCGGUUGAGCAUCUGACUUCAGCUCAGGUCACGAUCUCACGGUUCGUGAGUUUGAGACCCACGUCAGGCU